rnacentral:rRNA from 1 species
GAUGAACGCUGGCGGCGUGCCUAAUACAUGCAAGUCGAGCGAACAGACGAGGAGCUUGCUCCUCUGACGUUAGCGGCGGACGGGUGAGUAACACGUGGAUAACCUACCUAUAAGACUGGGAUAACUUCGGGAAACCGGAGCUAAUACCGGAUAAUAUAUUGAACCGCAUGGUUCAAUAGUGAAAGACGGUUUUGCUGUCACUUAUAGAUGGAUCCGCGCCGCAUUAGCUAGUUGGUAAGGUAACGGCUUACCAAGGCAACGAUGCGUAGCCGACCUGAGAGGGUGAUCGGCCACACUGGAACUGAGACACGGUCCAGACUCCUACGGAAGGCAGAAGUAGGAAUCUUCCGCAAUGGGCGAAAGCCUGACGGAGCAACGCCGCGUGAGUGAUGAAGGUCUUCGGAUCGUAAAACUCUGUUAUUAGGGAAGAACAAAUGUGUAAGUAACUAUGCACGUCUUGACGGUACCUAAUCAGAAAGCCACGGCUAACUACGUG